rnacentral:snRNA from 1 species
GUGCUCACUUUGGCAGCACAUAUACUAAAAUUGGAAUAGUACAGAGAAGAUCAGCAUGGCCCCUGCACAAGGAUGACAUG